GACGAACGCUGGCGGCGUGCUUAACACAUGCAAGUCGAGCGAGGCCCUUCUUCGGGAGGUGCCCUAGCGGCGAACGGGUGAGUAACACGUGGGCAACCUGCCCUCAGCUCUGGGAUAACUCCAAGAAAUUGGUGCUAAUACCGGAUGUGACCGCUGACCGCAUGGUCUGGUGGUGGAAAGAUUCAUCGGCUGAGGAUGGGCCCGCGGCCUAUCAGCUUGUUGGUGGGGAAUGGCCUACCAAGGCGACGACGGGUAGCCGGCCUGAGAGGGUGACCGGCCACACUGGGACUGAGACACGGCCCAGACUCCUACGGGAGGCAGCAGUGGGGAAUAUUGCGCAAUGGGCGAAAGCCUGACGCAGCGACGCCGCGUGAGGGAUGACGGCCU
rnacentral:rRNA from 1 species